rnacentral:tRNA from 1 species
GGCCGGUUAGCUCAGUCAGUUGAGCAUAGCAUAAACAACGCUAAGGUCACAGGUUCGAUUCCUGUUCUGUCCU